rnacentral:rRNA from 1 species
UACGGAGGGUGCAAACGUUGCUCGGAAUUAUUGGGCGUAAAGCGCACGUAGGCGGCCGAAUAAGUCGGGUGUGAAAGCCCUGGGCUCAACCCAGGAAGUGCACUCGAAACUGCUCGGCUUGAGUAUGGAAGAGGGUUGCGGAAUUCCCGGUGUAGAGGUGAAAUUCGUAGAUAUCAGGAGGAACACCAGUGGCGAAGGCGGCUAUCUGGAUCGUAUCUGACGCUGAGGCGCGAAAGCGUGGGGAGCAAACAGG